ACAGAUUUUGGUUCCCUUUUGGGGUGCACAAAUUGCUGCCAGGGUAGAAUAGUGGUGAUUGUUGCACAAAUCAUGGAGUGUAACUGAUCCUGCCAUGUGUUUGUCAGACCCUUCCCUGACUCUGGGGGCAAUCCCUGAAAAACAACUAAAGUAAAAAAGAAGACAAACCAGAAGAGAAAGCUGAAUAGUCAUUUGAGAAUCAGGAAAUACACUUCCCCACACAGGCACAGAAAUGACUUUUAUUUCCAGAAGGAAGGAUUUAAAGAAUAAGUGUGGGAAACUUGCGAUGAUGAUCUUUUCUACAGGAAAUGGGCUAAACGAGACCCUGGCCGGCUAUUGUUACUGAGAUCAGGAGGGAAACCAGCGAAAUGCCUGCCAAAAUGACACCAAAUGAAACCUGCUGCCUGCUCAUUGUCAUGCAAUUUGCUGUAAAGCUAUACAUUGUGACGUACACUACCGAAAUCCUGCUUGGAAGAAAAUUGUUUAUUCUAAAUGUAAGCAGAAUCAAUGUAUAAACUGGACAAUAUGCAAAUCUAAGUUACUGUUUUUGGUACCAUUUGGUGAAAUAGUAUGACCUUGCUCAAUGAUUUUCCAUUGCUCAUCUGCAGGUAUUAAGGUGUCACUGCUAGCUUCUCUGGGGGCUACAUAGGGAUUUCCUAAUGUUUAAGUGUUUAGGAAGAUCCAUACCUAACAAAUAACCAUGUGCCAGAGGCAGAAGGUAGAAGAAUACUAGGACAGUGGACUAGGACAGUCCACUAAUGACAAGUGGAGAGAUAAUGAGUCAACAUUUCUUUUUUUGGAACCCCUCAAUGAAAGAGAAGGAUGUAGUCCAGAAGCUGGAGUGGGAGACCCAUGUGAGUAAUGAGCCCUGGGAAGAAACCUUAGAUCAGGGAUCCCCAACCUUUCUUACUCGUGAGCCACA